rnacentral:lncRNA from 8 species
GCUGUUUGUGCCAUUAACAAACUUUGCAUCUGCACCAUUCUUCAAGUAAAUGUGCUUUUGUAAACAUUUUCAUGGAAAUUGUUCAAAUUAGUCCUUGUGCAUAUGGUAUGGUUUGUUUAACUUUGCAAUCAUUGGUUUUGUUUGACAAAAAUGGUUUUGUUUGACAGAGUCUCAAUGUCACUGUCACUGUUACCAUGGAAUUGCCCAUAUUUAGCACAUACACAUUUAACCCAUAACUGGUCAGAUAUUGACAACAAGGCCUGUGUGUUUGUUCUCGCUUCCAGUCUUUCUUCUUGUUUAUAGCUUGCCCUAGCCGUUUCCAUAACACGCAUACCGGUGGUACACAGAUUACUUUACGCUUUCCUAAAUACAAUUUAAAAAACACACAGGCAUAACCAUAAUCGUUAUCAGUCCAUGCAGACCAUGCGCAUCAUCCACUUGUCCCACUUCCAGAGUUUCAGAGUCAGAAUUUGGCAACGACACGCAUAAAAAAAGACUCUGUCAAUCUAGUAGCAGGAUGCAUUCUCAACCGAGAUACUGCACAUGCGCGGAUGAGAGCGAGACCGCUGAUUUGACAGCCCUUUGAAUGUACCACACAGCUCACUAUAUUGCAAGGCACUCACUAUUCCAUGGAGCUGCGCACAAUCAGCACCUGUCUUCUCUAUGGCUGUGGCUUCAGCGGUGGGAGGGGUCAUUAUUUGGCAGGGAGCGGCGGUAGAAUUUCCUAGAUACCGACAGCCGCGCGUGCCGUGCACCCAUUCAGAUUCAGCACUAUUCUGAAGGAAAGCGCACGGAUUUAGGCGAUUCAGCCGAAGGAACGAGACCGAGAAGGCAGUAUCUUUUAGGAAUACACAGUGAAACAAUACAUUAUACAUCUUUUGUUGAAAUACAAGAGCUGUCAUCAAACAAGUGGCACGCUCACGGACUCUGUUGGAGCCGUGCUACAUUCAACACCAGGGCCAGGGGUAAAGCUGCUCUGACACAAGGCCCGUCCCAAACGACAUUCUAUUCCCUACAUAGUGCUCUACUUUUGACCAAGGCCCAUAAGGCUCUAUGUAGAGAAUACGGCGCCAUUUCGGAGACACCCACAGUUGUGCCAAGAGAGGUGUGUGUGUGUGUGUGUGUGUGUGUGUGUGUGUGUGUGUGUGUGUGUUGACGAGAUAUUCACUGACAUGUCAGCUGGUCCUUUUGUGGCAGGGCUGAAAUGCAGUGGAAAUGUUUUUGGGGGGAUUCAGUUCAUUUGCAUGGCAAAGACGGACUUUGCAAUUAAUUGCAAUUCAUCUGAUCACUCUUCAUAACAUUCUGGAGUAUAUGCAAAUUGCCAUCAUACAAACUGAGGCACGAACUUUGUGAAAAUUAAUAUUUGUGUCAUUCUCAACUUUUGGCCAAACUGUACAUUUGACAUUUGUUCUUACAGAUGCNNNNNNNNNNNNNNNNNNNNGUGUGUGUGUGUGUGUGUGUGUGUGUGUGUGUGUGUGUGUGUGUGUGCGUCGAGAAGCCCUCUUGCAAUGCUGAAACUAGCUCACCGUAAGGUGAAGCUGUAAAACAACACUUUUCACUGUGGCAAUAAAACAUACAGUGAGCUCCAAAAGCUUUAGGACAGUGACAACUUUGUUGUUGUUUUGUCUCUGAACUCCAGCUCUUUGGAUUUUAAAUGAUACAAUAACGAUGCGGUUAAAGUACAGACUGUCAGCUUUCAUUUGAAUAUAUUUUCAUCCAUUUUGGGUGAACCGUUUAGAAUUUACAGCACUUUUUGUACAUAGUCCCUUCAUUUUAAGGGACCAACAAUAUAGGGACAAAUUCAGCUAUGUGUAUUAAAGUAGUCAAAAGUUUGGUAUUUGGUCUCAUAUUCCUAGCACACUGUAAUGUGCGUCGUAUAGAGGGGACCAAAACGCAGCGUGUUGUGCUCAUUAUGAUAUUUAUUAACUCAAAAAUACUAAAGACAAAAUAACAAAAGGCAAAUGAUCAGAAAUACAGUUCUGUCAGGUACAAAGACUAAACAGAAAAUAACUGCCCACAGAGGUGGAAAAAAAAACCUACUGAAAUAUGAUCUCCCAUCAGAGGCAUCGAGGACCAGCUGCCUCCAAUUGGAGAUCAACCCCCCCCAAUAAACAUAGAAAUAGAAAAACUAGAACUUAAACAUAGAAAUAGAAAACAUAGAACAACACAAAACACCCCCUGUCACGCCCUGACCUACUCUACCAUAGAAAAAUCACAUCUUACUAUGGUCAGGACGUGACACACACAAUGAUUACAUCAAGAUUGUGACUCUACACAUUUGUUGGAAGCAUUUGCUGUUUGUUUUGGUUGUGCUUGUGGCCAAAAGAAAUGAAUGGUAAAUAAUGUAUUGUGUCAUUUUGUAGUGACUUUUAUUGUAAAUAAGAAUAGAAUAUGUUUCUUAACACCUCUACCAUGAUUACGGAUAAUCCUGAAUAGAUCGUGAAAAAUAAUGAGUGAGAAAGUUAGAUGCACAUGUAUCAUACCCCCAAAACUUGCUAACCUCUCAC